AGCAGAGGACCCGGAGUCAGGGCUGUGUGAGCCUGUGCCCGCACACUGCCACCCGGUCUCUGUCUCACAUCUAAAGGGAGAGGGGACCUUUCACGCGCUCCCCGAGGGUUUAAGACAGACGUGCGCGUCAGCUGCGUUUGAACGCCAGCCGCCCUCAGUGGCAGCUCUUCACGUAUGAUUAGGAGCGGCUCUAAUACACCGUGUAUUUGGAGCGACAGCAAGACCAGGCUGGCGUUGGCAGUGCUCUCAGACAACUGCCCUCGUCACUCUGCCUCCUCCCAAGGUGACCCAGCUGAGCUGCUGCGAGUGAGGAAGGAAAGGCAGUUGAAAAAGAGAUCUACCUUCUAUCUCGUUUGGCCUCUUGCUGUCAUUUUCUGAAAUGAAUCAGAGACAGCCAACCAGAGGCUCCCAAGAUGCCACCGAACACCAGGCCUUUCUUUUUUGUUGGUUUGUGGGACAGGAGAGGGUGUCGUUGGCUCACCCGCCACUCCCCCAAAGGGAUAGCGUUCUGUCGAUGACCAGACCAUCAAACCGAGAUCAAACAUGACUUGUUCACCCUAAAA